rnacentral:lncRNA from 1 species
GAGGAAGGGAUCCACGGCGAUCUCAAUCUGAUUAGCGACGAGAUUCUGAGGAUCACCGGAGUGGUUGAGCACGGGAUGUUCCUCGGAUUAGCGUCGUCGGUGAUCGUGGCCAGGAAGGAUGGGGUGGUGGUGAUGGACAAGUAGAUGAAGUUAAAUGGUAUUUGAGAACCAUACUUAAUUUGGACAAGGAGUGGUUGAGCACGGGAUGUUCCUUGGAUUAGCAUCGUCGGUGAUCGUGGCGAGGAAGGAUGGGGUGGUGGUGAUGGACAAGGAUAUGAAGUUAAAUGGUAUUUGAGAACCAUACUUAAUUUUUAGAUAAGCUAAUUAUAUAUUGCAUUUAUAUCAACAAAGGAAGCCACUUGAUUCAUAUCAUGAAUUCUUGAAAUCAGGAAUUGCGAUUAUUGUAGGAAGAGAAGAUGCUA